ACCAAGUCUUCAGCAGCAGAGCCUGAUCUCUGCCUGUCAGAGAAGCCUGCGUAAAGAGACACAGCAAACCAGUGCCCAGGACAAAGUUUAUCUGUUGAAAGAAAGAAGAGGAAAAGGGGAAGGAGUGACAUUUUAAACAGUGGUAAAAAAAAUUGUUUUUAACGUGUUUUACUCUAGAAGAAGUUUCAAAUACAGUAGCUGAAAUAAGAUUGUAUGCAGUAGCAGUACUGAGGCAUCUGUUUGAUCAGCCACUGACUUCCUGAGCCAUCACAGUGAACUAUGUUGGGACAGACUGGCGACACUGGAACUAGAGCCCAGGAACCAAAAGUGGAACCAUGCUCUAGAAGGUGCAGGGAGACAAGUUGAGCACAGGGACCUUCCACACCUAAAAACUGUGCCCUCCGCCUUCACCAACCUUGACACAGAACUCCUUCAGCUCCCAGCGUCUGGGCUUGCGGCUCAGUAUGAGCUCUUCCAGCACUGUGGGCUGGUUGGUCAGUGGCGACACUCCCAUCAGACGGUUGUAGAGCGCCGUCAGCUGCCUCUCCAGCCGGUAGUCCUGCACAUACUGCAAGAACACCUCAGUCUCCUUCUUCAUGAAGUCUGACUGGGCCCUCACCUGGAACAAGCAUAAUAGUGUGUGUGUAUAUAAUAUAUUAUAUAACAGAAUACAUGAAAUAAUGUUAAUAAAUAGCUGCUAUUAAUAACUCCAGGCUUUAACAAAAGACCUGUUUUUAGUUUUGAGUUUCACAUUUAGCCAGUUUUUUCUUAUAAUAACUCACAUUUUCUUUCAUAUUCUCACUUCAGAAACACUAAACAGGAGAGAGCUCACCUAACUGAGAUAAAUGGAUCCAGGAGCUUGUUUGUUUGUUUUUUCUUAAUUUAAAUGUCUGUAAAAUGACUCGCUAAAACAUUUAUAACAUUGUGAAAUUAUUAAACAGAAAAUAAA